AUAACUCGUUUCAUUGGUAGCGUAGCUAGAAGGUAUCAAUAUGCUCCUAUCGACUACAAGUCAUGGAAAGUCAUGCCAAAUGAUUACAAAGAAGAAAUGUUGAAAUUAAUAGAGAGUAAAUUUGAGUUUGUUCCUCCAAUAAAUGACUUAACAAGAGAAAUGUUCUCAUAACAGAAGAAGAAGUUGCAUCUCUUGUACCAGAUGAUAGGGUUGACCCAAAUCAAUAUCGUGGUUUGGUUCAUCAUUGGUUUUCUGAUGAAGGACAAAAAAUAAGUAAAAUUAAUAGGCAAAAUCGGGCUAAAUUUGAAGAUGUUCAUUGUAUGGGUUCAAAAAGUCUCCCAAAGUUUAUUGAUGAGAAGAUAAAAAAAGGGCAAAGGAGUGUUGCAUGGACGUAAAGAGAUUUACAUUGAUACCCGCACUCGUAAAGA